rnacentral:misc_RNA from 1 species
CACAACUAACUGUAUACAUUUUAUUGCAUGUUUCUGAAUGCUGGUCAGACUCAUUAUCUAAAGACCAACUAAAUUCUUAUAUUCUGACUUCUCCCCCCAUUUUCAAACAAUGCAUUUCUUCCCAUGCCUUUUCUUCUUGUUGGCGGUUGUGCAGACAUAAGUAAUGAAUUUUCACAAUUCGACUCUCUCUUUCAUUGCAUCCACAAGAGCAAACGGCUUGUUAAUAGCACUUUCUGUUCAUGUUUCAUGCCAACAAUUGACCUAACAUCAAGCACUAGAUAGCUUGCUUGUCAAUGAUGUUAAACCAACAAACACUACUUUUGUCCCCCAAGUUCAGCCAUUGUAAUAGAGCAGGUUCCAAGUUGGAUGAAAUGCCCAGUCCAUAAACCAGUCUCUGUAAAAUCCAACAGGUGUAACAGGCAAGCUGCCCCUACAGAGCCUUGGUAUAACCGACCCAAUCAGUGUUCAGUCAGCAGUCCAGCUCAUGGGUGGCAAUAACCAACCAAAUAGUUUCAUGAUGCUGUUCACCCUUCCACUCCCAGCAAAA